UACGUAGGGGGCGAGCGUUGUCCGGAGUUACUGGGCGUAAAGCGCACGCAGGCGGUCUGCUAAGUUUGGAGUGACAGUUGGUGGCUUAACUGCCAAAGUGCUUCGAAAACUGACAGACUUGAGGGCUUCAGAGGGACACGGAAUUCCGGGUGGAGUGGUGAAAUGCGUAGAGAUCCGGAGGAACACCAAAGGCGAAGGCAGUGUCCUGGGGAGUAACUGACACUGAUGCGCGAAAGCAUGGGGAGCAAACAGG
rnacentral:rRNA from 1 species